GAAAUAGUAAAUUUGAAGAAAUUGAGUCAUCUAGACAUGAGUAAUAACUUAAUAAGUGGAAAGAUACCUUCACAGUUGGGAAAUUUGAAAGAAGUAAAAUACUUCAAUCUCUCCCACAAUAACCUCUCUGGCACCAUUCCUUAUUCUAUUUCUAGUAACUACAACAAAUGGACAUUGAUUGAUUUAUCAAACAAUCGGUUGGAGGGUCAAACUAGAGCUCCGGUAGAGGCAUUUGGCCACAACAAAGGUCUAUGUGGUGAAAUCAAAGGUCGGCCACGAUGCAAGAAAAGGCACCAAAUCACACUCAUCAUUGUUGUUUCUUUAUCUACAACCUUGUUGCUUUCAAUUGCAAUCCUUGGUUUUCUCUUCCAUAAACGAAGGAUCAGAAAAAAUCAAUUACUCGAGACAACAAAGGUGAAAAAUGGAGAUCUAUUUUCCAUAUGGGACUAUGAUGGUGUGAUUGCUUAUCAAGACAUCAUCCAAGCAACCGAAGAUUUUGACAUCAAAUACUGCAUAGGCACGGGAGGCUAUGGGAGCGUUUACAGAGCACAACUACCUUCCGGGAAGGUGGUUGCCUUGAAAAAACUUCAUGGAUGGGAAAGAGGGGAUCCAACUUACUUGAAAAGCUUUGAAAAUGAAGUUCAAAUGCUAACAAGAAUACGACAUCGUAAUAUUGUGAAACUUCAUGGCUUUUGUCUACAUAAGAGAUGCAUGUUUCUAGUUUACAAAUAUAUGGAGAAAGGAAGCUUGUAUUGUAUGCUAAGGGAUGAAGUUGAGGCUGUGGAAUUGGAUUGGAUUAAGAGGGUGAAUGUUGUUAAAAGCAUUGCUAAUGCUUUAUCCUACAUGCAUCAUGACUGCGACUUGCCCAUCAUUCAUCGAGACAUAUCAAGUAAUAACAUUCUUUUGGACUCUAAGCUUGAAGCUUUUGUUUCGGAUUUUGGCACUGCAAGAUUGUUAGAUAAUGAUUCAUCCAAUCGAACCCUUCUUGUAGGCACUUAUGGUUAUAUUGCACCAGGUAAGCUAGAUUAUAAUCUUCACUAGUUUUCAUUACUUAUGAAUCUUUUCAAUUGUCACACCCUUACAAAAUUCCAAAAGUUUUUUAGAUCGAGAAUUCAAAAUAUUUUAUAAGUUUUCUCUAUAUAAAUAACAUGAAUACUCUUUUUUUUUCUAUAUUUUGCAGAGCUUGCUUAUACUAUGGUUGUGACUGAAAAAUGUGACAUUUAUAGCUUUGGGAUGGUUGCAUUGGAGACAAUGAUGGGAAUGCAUCCAGGAGAAUUUGUCACCUCAUUAUCAUCUUCAUCAACUCAAAACACAACGUUAAAGGAUGUAUUAGAUUCACGUCUUUCAUCUCCUAAAAGUACACAAGUUGCUAAUAACAUAGCUCUUAUAGUGUCAUUGGCGCUCAAAUGUCUCCAUUCUAAUCCACAAUUUCGUCCAUCCAUGCAAGAAGUGUCUUCGAAACUUGUUUCUACAAGGUCAUUCCCACAACCCAUCAGUACAAUAUCACUUUUGCAACUAAAAGAUGAAGUUAUUUAAAUGGCAUGGAGUUGGUAUGUAAUUGGAGUGAAGAUGUUUAUUUUCCAUUUUUCUUUUUCAUGGUAAUGAGAAUUUUAUAAUAUAUGUAUCCCUUCUUUCCUAUUAAUUACUCAAAUGCAAAUUUUCUAUUUGUUUUUCCAAAGCGGCAAUAGUGUAAUGUGAUACUAAGAAUUACAUCAAAUUGAUACACAAUGAUCUAUAAACUUUUAAUGAACCAUGUCAUUCCGAUUAAUAAUUUUUUAUAAUGAUUCUUUUUUGGAGAAAAAUCCUUCUUUUUCUUUUAUCAAUUUUAACAUAUAUACCAUUUUCUCCAUUUUCAUAUUCUAAUCAAUCAAAUUAGUGACAUUUCUUGUAAAUGUGACAAACCUAUUGUCAAAGGCAUUAAAAAAAUUAGGGAAAAAACAAAUUGAAUAAUUUCAAUGUGAUUGUCUCUACAUGAUGAAGAUAAUAAAUUUAUUUUAUUUAUUUUUAAAAUACUGUUUUAUCCAUUUUUCCUAUAUCAUCUAAAAUUUUGUCUAAAAUAAAAUUAUUUGAUUUUGUAUAAGAAUACUUAAAAAUGUCGGUGGGAAUGUGGGAUACUAGGCUGACACUAAAACACCAAAUGACAUACUUGUGAUACAAUAUUAAGAAAUUAUUUCAUAAUAUUUUAUAAUUUGUUUCUACUAUUUAGUCACCCAUAAAUAUCAAUUUUAAAAAAAUUUAAUGAUUAAAGAAAAUUAAGUGAGAUAUAAUUAAAUAACUCUAAAAAUUUUAUUUUCCCAUCAUGGAAUAACAGAAUUGAUAUUCAUACUAAUGAUUUUAUUAAGAUAAGAUACCUAGUCGAUAAAAUGUCCUUGAUUUUAUAUAAAAUUAGACAUUAUAUUUACUUAAAUUAUUUUCAUAAUAGUAGCAUAUUUGUUAAAUAUAUGAAACUAUUCAAAUUGAAUAAUUUAGGUAAACUAUGAAUAUUAUAAGUACGCCAUUAAUGCUCCUCGUUUUAAAAGAAGCAAUAUUUCAGUUUCAUAUCUAAAGUUUUUUUUUCCAACUCCAAUUGGUGUAUAUAGACCCGAUUUUGUAGUGAAGCUUGGCAGCUAGUAGGAUUUCCUUCACAGAAAAGAAUGGACAGAUGAAAUAAACAGAAACCAAACCAAGAGAUGAGUGUGGUGUAUUCUCAUUCCUUGGCUAGAAUCCCCACAUCACAGGUACUGCCUGUUAGCUUUUUUCUUAUAAUGUGUGGCCAUAUACAAUUAUAUUUGUAUGAAUAUUAUUUAAGGGUAUCAAUUGAUAGGUUGGUGAAUCAAUUGAUUGGGCAUCCAAGAGUCUUAUGUAUGGAAGAUUCAAAUUUAUAAAUGGGGAGUUAGAAAAUUUAACUCAUAUGAAUGUGGUGUUACAACUUUUGUAACCCCAUCAUUAUGAAAUUUAUUUGUACAUUAUGUUUAUGAGUAAUGGAGGAAAAUGGAAAAGUAUAACCUAUGCAAUUAUAUAGAUGCAUUCAAGUUCAUAACCCACCAUUACCCAUUGAUUUGUACAUAAUGGGUGUAAAUAAUGAGUAUAACUCUCAUAUAGUCUUUGAUGGGAAGACUAAGAGAUGUACAAUUUUUUUUAUAAGUUCAAGUCCCAAGCCACACUCUCAUUCUUAUAUCAUUUUUGUUAUUUAUUUUUAACAACAUACACCAUACAAAUGACUCAUCCACUAUAUGAGAGUAGUGAGUUGAAGACCUUGACAAUAUAAUUCACAAGGUGACUUAAUCUCACUUCAUGGUUCAAGGUAAGAAUAUGAUCAUUAUUUUAGUAUUUACAUUUAUUUUGUUUUAUGCAUCCAAAAUUGUUUUUUAAAAUAAUUAUUUCCGCAUAAAGUUUAUAAAAGUUUGGUUAACAAUUGGUAUCAGAGCCAACCAAUUUUGGAUCAUAAAACAUAUUUUUCCGUUUUUUGAUUAUUGUUUGAUCUUAUGGACAACUAAAAUAUAUAUGAUGUGAUGCAUAUGAAUGAUGUAGUAACACAACAUUUUCAAUGUUUCAUGAUUUCAAUCAUAUCUAUUGCAUGAUUUUAUGAAAGUUGAAAACAUAUGAUUAGUAAUUUAAAUGUGUGAUUAUGGAAAUCUCAAGAAAUAGUUUUUCUAGUAUGCAUGUUUAUUUACUUGUUUGUUUGAAGAUGAUCAUAUAUAUAUAUAUAUAUAUGUGUGUGUGUGUGUGUGUGUGUGUGUGUGUUGUUCAACUUAUGAAACAAGUGUUGAUCAACCCAACGGAGGAUCAUCACCAUGUUUGAUUAUAUGAAAAGAGUUUAAUAAUAAAAAGUUGAUGAAGUUUUUACCCAACGGUAUUAAACUUCUUUACGUUUCAAUACUUUUAUUUUAAUAAUUAUGUCAUAUCUAUAUGAUUUAUGAAUUAUUAUAAUUCAACCCAACGGAGGGAUUAUAAUAAUGUACUUUUGAAUUAUAUGAUUGUAGUUCGGUCCAACGAAAGAACUAUGAUAUAAUCUCUUAUGUUUAUAAUUAAUGUGAUAUCUAACUUAAUUUUUGUUGUAAUUAGAUUAUUGUAAAGUGUGGUGUUAAAUAUUGUCAUGAUAUAAAAUAAUUUUCCUUUUGAAUUAAUCCUAUUGCUAUUAUAGGCUAUUUGUCUGGUAUUGAACAAUUAAGUGGGGCAAAUUUUAAAAAAUGGAAGGAACAAAUUGGAAUUAUUCUUGGUUGCAUGGAUUUGGACUAUGCCUUAAGAGAACCUACACCCACAAAGCCUACUUCUGAAAGGACUAAUGAACAAAAGGUUUUAUAUGAAAAGUGGGAGCGCUCUAAUCGCAUGAGUCUAAUGAUUAUGAAAGGUUCAAUCACUCCUGCAAUUCGUGGAGCAAUCCCGGAUUCAGAUAAUGCAAUAACCUAUAUUAAAUCAGUUGAAAAACAAUUCUUAGGAACUUCCAAGUCCUUGGCAAGUACUCUUAUGAUCAAAAUGAUAACAAUGAAAUAUGAUGGUCAUAGUGGUGUACGUGAGCACAUCAUGAAGAUGAGUGACAUGGCUUCUCAAUUGAAAGGAAUGGACAUGACAAUUUCUGAAGGUUUUCUUGUUCACUUCAUAAUGACUUCCCUUUCUUCACAAUUUGGUCAUUUCAAAAUUAAUUAUAAUACUCAGAAGGAUAAGUGGAAAAUGAGUGAACUAAUUGCCAUGUGUGUUCAAGAAGAAGAGAGGCUUAAAGUGGAAAAGCCCGAUAUGGCUCACCUCACCAUUGGUCCAAAUAAAAAAUCCUUCAAGAAAGGUAAAGGUAAGAAAAAUAAGCAAGGUAAUGAUGUAUCUCACAAUGGGCAAAAGUAUGAAAAUAAGAUACAAUGUUAUUUUUUCCACAAGAAAGGUCACAAAAGAAGAGAUUGUUCUGGCUUUAAGCCUUGGUUGGAAAAGAAAGGUAAAACUCAAUGCUUAGUGUCUUAUGAAUCUUAUUUAGUUGAUAUACCACCAAACUCUUGGUGGAUUGACACUGAUGCAAGCAUUCACAUAACGAAUUCAUUGCAGGGAUACCUUACAAGCAAGAUACUAAGUAAAGGAGAGCGAACCAUUACUUUGGGAAAUGGAACAGAAGUGGAAAUUGAGGCUAUUGACACUCUUUGUUUAAUUUUGGAUACUGGUUUCAUUAUGGAUUUAGUAGAUAUAGUUUAUAUUCCUGUUUUUAUUAGAAACCUAAUUUCAGUUCCAAGACUUGAUUCUUAUGGUUAUGAAUUAAAGUUUGGAAAUAAUGGAGUUUCCUUGUUCUAUAAUUCUUGUUUGGUUGGCUCUGGCACUUUACAUGGUAAUCUUUAUUCAUUGAAUUUAGAUUGCAAAUAUUCACAGUCUCUUUUAUCUUAUCAUGUGUAUGAAUUCUCUAAAAAACGAAAUCAAGUGAAUGAAAAUUCAUCCAUAUUGUGGCAUAAGCGAUUGGGUCACAUUUCAAGAGAAAGGAUGGAACAUCUUAUUAAAGAUGAAAUUUUGACUUCACCUGAUUUUUCUGAUUUUACUAAUUGUGUUGAAUGCAUAAAGGGAAAACACACUAAGGUUAAGAAAAAGGGUGCCUCAAGGGCUACUAAAUUGUUAGAAUGUAUUCAUUAUGACAUUUGGGGACCUUAUUCAAUUCCAACUAUCAAUGGACAUAAGUACUUUAUUAGUUUUAUUGAUGACUUUUCAAGGUAUUCUUAUGUGUAUCUUAUUCGUGAAAAAUCUGAAGCAUUAGAUGUUUUUAAGAUUUAUAAAGCUGAGGUUGAAAAUCAACUCAAUCGGCGAAUUAUAAGUGUAAGAUCUGAUAGAUGUGGUGAAUAUUAUGGUAGGUUCACCAAAUCAGGUCAACAUCUUAGUGCUUUUGCCUUAUUUUUAAGAGAGCAUGGUAUCAUUGCAAACUACACAAUGCCUGGAACACCAGAGCAAAAUGGUGUAGCAGAGCGACAAAAUCGUACUCUAAUUGACAUGGUGAGAAGUAUGAUGAGUGACUCAACCUUGCCUGAAUUUUUGUGGGGUGAAGCAUUGAAAACUGCUGUUCACAUUCUCAAUCGUGUUUUUAGUAAGGUUGUACCCAAAACUCCUUAUGAGUUAUGGGUGGGUAGGAAACCGAAUUUGAAUUAUUUACAUGUAUGGGGAUGUCCAGUUCAAGCUAAAAUUUUUAACCCACAAAUCAAGAAAUUGGAUUCUAAAACCAUAAGUUGCAAUUUCAUUGGCUAUCCUGAAAGAUCAAAAGGUUUUAGAUUUUAUUGUCAUGGUCAGGGCCCUAAAAUUUUUGAAACUAGACAUGCUGUGUUUUUGGAAAAUGAAUAUUUUAGUGGGAGAACUGAGCUUAAAAAGUUAACCUCUAAUGAAGUAUCAACACCAAUGAUGGAAUAUGGUGUGACUCAAGAGGUUUCUUGUAAUGAAAAUGAGAAUGUCCCAACUACAGAAGCAUCUUUACGUAGAUCACAAAGAGAGAAAAAACCUGCUAUAUCAAAUGACUAUGAAGUUUAUCUUAAUGAGUGUGAUUAUGACGUUGGCUUGGAAAGUGAUCCUACUUCUUAUGAUCAAGCCAUCAAUAGUGAAAAUUCAACUCUAUGGCUUUAUGCUAUGGAAGAAGAGUUGAAAUCAAUGAAAGAUAAUGAAGUUUGGGAUCUUGUAAAAUUGCCUAAAGGAGAUAAAACUAUUGGUUGCAAAUGGAUUUUUAAAACCAAACAUGAUUUUAAGGGCAAUGUCGAAAAAUACAAGGCUAGGUUAGUUGCAAAAGGAUACACUCAAAAAGAAGGAAUCGACUAUAAGGAAGCAUUUUCUCCUGUUUCCAAGAAAGAUUCCUUAAGAAUAGUCAUGACUUUAGUAGCUCAUGUUGACUUAGAGUUACAUCAAAUGGACGUUAAAAUUGCAUUUUUGAAUAGUGACUUGCAUGAAGAGGUUUAUAUGGAUCAACCCGGGGGUUUUUAGGAUAAAAGCAAGGAACAUAUGGUAUGUAAACUUAAAAAGUCCAUAUAUGGUCUAAAACAGGCUUCUAGAUAAUGGUAUCUUAAGUUCCAUGAAAUUCUCAUCACUUUUGGUUUCAAAGAGAAUCUAGUGGAUCAAUGUAUAUACCUUAAGAUCAGUGGAAGCAAAAUUUGUAUUAUUGUAUUGUAUGUUGAUGAUAUGUUGCUUGCUAGCAACAAUAUGAGAAUGAUUUUGGAGACCAAACAAUUUUUAUCCAAGAAUUUUUAUAUGAAAGAUCUUGGUGAAGCAUCCUAUGUGAUGGAAAUUGAAAUUCAUCGAGAUAGGUCACGUGGAUUAUUAGGAUUAUCCCAAAAGAACUAUAUUGAAAAAUUUCUUAAAAGAUUCAACAUGCAAAAUUGUUUUAGUAGUGUUGCUCCUGUUGUGAAAGGGGACAUAUUUUGUGAACUUCAAUGUCCCAAAAAUGAUCUUGAAAAGAAACAAAUGGAAAAAAUUCCUUAUGCUUCAGCAGUAGGAUGUAUCAUGUAUGCUCAAGUCUACACUCAACUAGACAUAGCUUAUGUGGUAGGCAUGCUUGGUCGAUACCAAAGUAAUCCAGGUAUUGAUCAUUGGAAAGCAGUUAAAAAAAAGUAUUGCGUUAUUUGCAAGGGACUAAGGACUACAUGCUUACAUACAAAAGAACAGAUAAUCUAGAGAUUAUUGGUUAUUCUGAUUCUGAUUAUGCUGGCUGUAAGGAUACUAGAAAGUUUACAUCUGGGUAUAUUUUAUCAAAUGGACCUAUUUCAUGGAAAGGUCGUAAGCAAUCAUUGAUAGCUUCUUCUACAAUGGAGGCAGAAUAUGUAGCAUGUUAUGAAGCCACAUGUCAUGUAAUAUGGUUGAGAAACUUUGUCUCAGGGCUUCAUAUUAUUGAUUCAAUAAUGAGACCAUUGAGAAUAUAUUGUGAUAAUAGUGGUGCUGUCCGAUUCUCUAAAAAUAAUAAGACUACUGGAGGAUCAAAGCACAUUGAUAUUAAGUAUUUGGUUGUAAGGGAGAAAGUUCAACAUAGAGUUGUCUCUAUUGAACAUAUUAAAAAUACACUCAUGUUGGCAAAUCCAUUGACAAAAGGUCUUCCACCUAAGCUUUUUAUGGAUUAUGUUGCAUGCAUGGGCUUGGUGGCAAGUUUGUCAAUUUUAGAUUGAUUGAAAGUGUAAUGUAUGUGAUCACAUUAUAAUGAGAAUAAAGUUCUUGAUUAUGAUAUAUUGAUGAUUAUUAUGUUACUUUUAUACAUCAUUUUUGUGCACAAUCUAGAUGUUUAAAAGUUGAUGAGACCAUUAUGUGAAUGAAUUAGCAUUAUCACCUUAAUGUUGCUAAUGUCAUAAAAGUCAUUGAUUCAUGUUAAUGGAGGUGUUAGUACUAUAAUCCUUGAAGAAUAUUGGAUCGUUGUAUGAUCCAAUCAUUUCAAUGAUUUGGUGUUAGUGGUUCCAUGAAACAUAAUCUUAAAGUAAAGGAUGCCUAUUUUGAGAAAUUGUUAUGGCCAUAUUAUGUUUUAAUCUAUUACAAAUAUAAUUAUGUGGGCCAAGUGGGGGAUUGUUAGUUUUUUUCCCAUAAUGUGUGGCCAUAUACAAUUAUAUUUGUAUGAAUAUUAUUUAAGGGUAUCAAUUGAUAGGUUGGUGAAUCAAUUAAUUGGGCAUCCAAGAGUCUUAUGUAUGGAAAACUCAAAUUUAUAAAUGGGGAGUUAGAAAAUUUAACUCCUAUGAAUGUGGUGUUACAACUAUUGUAACCCUAUCAUUAUGAAAUUUAUUUGUACAUUAUGUUUAUGAGUAAUAGAGGAAAAUGGAAAAGUAUAACCUAUGCAAUUAUAUAGAUGCAUUCAAGUUCAUAACCUACCAUUACCCAUUAAUUUGUACAUAAUGGGUGUAAAUAAUGAGUAUAACUCCCAUAUAGUCUUUGAUGGGAAGACUAAGAGAUGUACAAUUUUUUUUAUAAGUUGAGGUUUCAAGCCACAUUCUCAUUCUUAUGUCAUUUUUUGUUGUUUAUUUUUAACAACAUACACCAUACAAGUGACCCAUCCACUAUAUGAGAAUAGUGAGUUGAAGACCUUGACAAUACAAUUCACAAGGUGACUCAAUCUCACUUCAUGGAUCAAGGUAAGAAUAUGAUUAUUAUUUUAGUAUUUACAUUUAUUUUGUUUUAUGCAUCCAAAAUUGUUUUUUAAAAUAAUUAUUUCCGCAUAAAGUUUAUAAAAGUUUGGUUAACACUGCUCUUCUUCACUCCAAAACCAGGUUCUUUUCUCUUUUCUCUUUUCCUGCUUCUCAAUUCCCAUAAUUCUCAUUCAUCUUCAAUGCUCUUAAUCAAGUCCAAGAGUUGCAGAUUGAUUUCAUGGGAAGUCAAUUCAAUUAUGAAUGACAAUAAUAAUAGUGGCAAGAAAGGUCAAUUGUAGUUCAUUCUCGAGUCACAAGGUCAAAUAUUGCAUUGGGUUGACUCAUCUAAGUCUUCUUCUUGGUCUUUUAUGUAAACAUGGCGUAGCUUGGAAAAUUAUACUAAUAAAUCCAUCAUUGAUCUCAACAUCAAUAUUUUUUUCUUCAAAUUAUUUGAUAGGAAGCCUCCCCAACGUGGAAUAUUGAAUUUAGUUGUUUAAUGGACUUCAAUCGCAUGCUCUUUGAAAUUAAGCCCCAGUCCAUAUUUUUUGUGUGUGUUCAUAUGGUAACCUGGCCUGUUAAAGAUGUAUUUCAUUUUCUUGAAAAGAAAUAAUUAGUGCAUACAUAUUUUGAGAAGAGAAAAAUUAAGAUUCAAUAUAUUUACAUUAUUAAUUUAUUAAAUAAGUAAAUAAUUAAUUAAUCAAAUAAUUUUUCAAAAAAUUAAAUAAUUAAUUAAUCAAAUAAUUUUUCAAAAAAUUAAAUAAUUAAUUAAUCAAAUAAUUUUUAAAAAAUUAAAGAAAAUAUUUUUGUUAAUUAAAAAAAUUUAUUUAUAAAGGGUUUAGAUAGAAAACAAAAAGAGGUUUUAAAUGUAAAGUUGCAUGGAGAAGUGAAUUGUAUGGUUUGGACAAUUUCAUAAAUAAAUCCAUCAUCAUCAUUGUAAGAUGGUUUACCCUUCUCAAAAUCAUUAUCAAACCUAGGUGUUUUUAAAAAAAUUUAUAAAGAUUUAUAUAUAUAUAUAUAUAUAUAUAUAUAUAUAUAUAUAUAUAUAUAUAUAUAUAUAUAUAUAUAUAUAUAUAUAUAUAUAUAUAUUUUAUGAUUUAUCAUUCUUUAAAUUCUGUUGACUCUUCUAAGUCUAUUUAUUGGUCUUUUAGGUAAAUAUGGUGUACCUUGAAAAAUUCUAUCCAUCAUUGAUUGAGAAGAUGUAUUUCAUUUUCUUGGAAAUAAAUAGUUAGUGCAUACAUAUUUUGAACACUUAACCGAGGAGAAAUAUUAAAUUAAAAAGAAAAAUGGCACCAUGCACUUAUAAGAUUCAAUAUAUUUGUUUAUUUGUUAAAUAAGUAAAUAAUUAAUUAAUCAAAGGCUUUAAAAUAUUUUAUAGAAAAAACUUUUGUUGAUUAAAAAAUAUAUUUUUCAAGCAUCCAUCUAACGUGAAAUCAUGGGAUGCACCUUUUUUUUUUCCACGGAUUCAAUUACUCUUAGAAAAUUAUCCCUUAUUCCUUAUUUUUUGUGCUCAUAUGGUGACCUAUUGAAGAUGUAAUUUGUAUAAAAUACAAUUUUUUAGCCUUAUUUAUAUUUAUAUUUUUCUGUGAUUUAAUAUAUCCCAAUAUUAUUUUAAAACACUUAUUUUUUAUACUUUACUAUAAGUUUAGAAAAAAAAUUUAAAUUUUUUUAUACUUUACCUUGUCAUGUUACAAUGCCCUAACCUUUUCCAAAGGUGGCUUUGGAAAUUAUGGCCCCAUCCACAUUUUGAUUUGUCAUGUUUACAAGUCAUGUAUCUGGGAAUCAAUCCUUUCAAAAACCCACUAUUUGGAGUCACUUUCGGAAACCAUUCCCUUCUCCAUAUUUUUGUGUUCACAUGGUCAGUUGUUGAAGAUGUAUUUGAUUUUUCCUUUUAAAAGAAAUAAUUAGUGCAUAGACAUCUUCAACAUCUAACCAAGGAGAAAUAUUAAAUUAAAAAGCAAAAUGGGUCAACCUCAAGACCCAAGGUCCGAGGAACCCAAGCCUUAACAACCGAUGAAGGGAUGACCUCAAAACCGAAGGUUCUUGCGUACUCUUCGUACUCAAAGGAAGACCUUGACAAAGAGUCGAAGACAUAAAGUGGAAAAUGAAGGUUGACUAACUUGGCUUGCAGGGAAAUGAAGUGGCCUUAUAACAAACACGCACGAUUUCAUAUUCUCAUAAGAUUCAACGUAUUUGUUUAUUUGUUAUUUAAUUAGUUAAUUAAUAAAGUCUUUAAAAAAAAUUAAAGAAAAAACUAUGAAAAAUAUAAGGAAAAUUGGAUAAGAAGUAACCCAAUAAAAAUAUUUUAAGAAAUAUGAGUUACUUUGUAGUCUUUUAAUAAAAAAAUAAAAUACAUUUUAUUUAACAUAAGGAGAUUUAUCUCCAAAAAUUACACCACCUUUCAUUAAAUAAUUUUAUUUUAACAUAAGUUUCUAACAAAAAAACUUCCCAAGAAAAACAUCAAAUAACAUUGUAAAAUCAAUAUUGUAAGUAUGAUAUGAUUUUCCUUAGGUUUCCUCAAUAGCCUGAGAGACUAGUGAUUUGGAACCAGUUUCUAAGCUUUCUGGAGCAUCCCCAACACUUUUGUGAUCAAACUUGAAACUAUAGCACUUGGUCCCUUUGAUCAUGCCAAUCACAUUUGUUGAUCCCUGUGGCUGCUAAAUGUUUUGAGUCUCUAAAUAUCCGCUUCCUUUCCAAAACUCGAAUGAACAAAACUAAGAACUUUAAUGCAAUCACCUUUCUAAAAAAAAUAAUAAUAAUAAAAUUGAAAAAAGAAAAAAUCAACAUGCAUGUUUAAAUAAUCACUCACUUCAUCUAUGUACAUUAAUUUAUUCCCCCUUGUGUUGUGAUCUAUUCAGAACUCAUCUUCUGAAUCACUAGAAGAAGAGUUCCUGGACUUGUCUGGCAUGAAAUUUGGCGGCAAGUUUGGGAACUUCACUGGAAUUCUUGAUGGUGGUGACUUUGUUGAUGAUGGCCCCAAACUUGCUGUGGUUGUUUUCCUCCGUUGUAGAUUUCGAGCAAUAUCAACACAGACCUGAUCAACCAUACCCAGAAAAUCUUUUACUAUAAUAAAUAAUUGAAGCGGGCUUGCCUCUUUGUUCUUUGAAGAUCGUGGUUGAUAAUAUUCUGUUGUUCUCCUUAAGAGCUCCAUUACCCUUGUUUGCUCUUCUCUCACCUCCCUUAAUUCUUCGCCUGCUGCUUCGAGAAAACUUUUCAUCUUCCUCAAAAAUCCUCCAUCACUGUUGGCAAAUGGUGCCACAAAUUGCUUGAUUUCAGUGGAAUGGGCUGUGAGAGUUGAACAUACGCCACCAAAGGCAUUGUAGUCCAUUUCAGCUACUUUCUUUACAUUAGAGAAUUCAGCACUUAGGCUUCCUACCACUGGUAAACCAAUCAUUAUGUAUUCCUUUUCUCUAUCCUCUCUUGAUGCCGAGUUCUCAGAAUACAGGCUACUGUUGCUGCUGUGACUCAAGCUGCGAUUUCGGUUCAAAACACAACGUUUGCCCUCAGAACGGACUACUUCUUCCACAACAAAGUGAAGUAACGUAGUUUUUCCAUCAGUGCUUUUAACAUCAGAAAGCUUUUGAAGAGCAGCGAGGUUAAAAGCUUGGGCAUUCCCUCUGGAAGUUCCAGCAUUCAUGCGAUUGCCUGCCUCGAGUAUGGCUUCCAAAAGUUUUAAGAAAAGUCCACGAGUUCGAAGCUCUUUGCAACCCAAUUCAAGUGUUUGUAAACAUUCCCUGAGAUGGAGAAUCUCUGAGUCAUAAUUCGAUCUGAAAAACAUGGCACUAAGACGUAUGAAUGCUGAUGGAACAGCUUUUAGGAUAUGGUAGAGGAAGGAUUCAGCAUCAGCCAGUCUUGUGGGGUCUCCCUCGAAUGCAAGGAUUUGGGAUUCUUCUUCUUUAGUUGGGGCAAUUUUUGUAAGCUUUUCAAGAGCAUCUGCAUUCAGGUCUUGGCCCUUAAUGAGUGCGUUGAGGAUCUCUUUUCGCGAGAUUGCUAAAGAUCGGAGUACAAUUGCUGUGUUUUGGGACUUUCGACUAUCAAGGAUGAAAAUCUGAGCCGAUUGAAUUGAGCUGGCACCAUUUGGGUUGUUAUGGUUUAUCUGAGGAGAUCUCCCAUUAGCAGCAACAUUUCCAAACAGUGCAUCCAUGAGGUCACCAUCGAAGCUGAGAAAUCAAUUGAAAAUUUUGGAAAUCCAGUAAAAUACCAAACAGAGGUGGUUAUGUAAUUCAAGAGACCAAAUUGGUAAAAUAUUACUACCUGAAAGAACCGCCAUUAAUUUUGUGCCACACCAUUGAAUGAUCGGCGUUAGUGUUCACUUUAUCCCAAUGCAAUGGCUUCAGCGCCACCCGACCAUUUCCAGUCCCUGCCUUGCUAUAUCCAGAUGAAGACUCUCCUAGUUUACUGCCAUUAGGCAUCCCUUUGGUCACCGAUGAGGCUUCUUUUGAUGAUGAAGUAAAACCACCCGCCUUAGGUGAGGGAGGUGGUGGUGGUAUGGGAUUUAUCUUAGCUGGGAUUGGUGGUGAGGGAGGUGGUGGUGGUAUGGGAUUUAUCUUUGCUGGGAUUGGUGGUGAGGGAGAUGGUGGUGGUGGUGGUAUGGGAUUUAUCUUAGCUGGGAUUGGUGGUGAGGGAGGUGGAGUAGCACUUGGCUUCUGUGGAAUUGCCAAUAUAGGUGGUGGGGGUGGGAGAGAUGUGGAUGAUUGAAUUGUUGAUUCAGUUUUUCCCACAGCCUCAAGAGAAAUCUCAGAAGAUUGUGACGAAGGAGGGGGGGCAGAAAACCAAUUCAGAUUUUCCACUUCUUCUUGAACUUCAUCAUAGGAAGUUGAAGACUUUCCUCGUAGCAAAGGAAUUUCUUGUAUAGGCUCAGACUUCGCCCUCCCAUCUCCAUUCCGACUCAUCCUUUUUUCUUCAUGUUUCAGAUUAUGUAGAGCCUGUUUAGGGAAACUAUUCUUCCUGUAAUCACCUUCAAGCUUCUUCCAAUAAAGCACGUCCAAACCAUUCUCAUCGACAAUCAGCCCAUUUAGAUUUCCAUUGAAUCGUGAGAACUCAAUGUGACUCACCACAUUUUCACCUCCACCUCGUGGAUCAUUUUUACCUUUCUGGCUUCUCCCCCGUGCAACCGUGUACUUUUGGAACAGAAUGAAGAACAACCCGGAGACAACUAUUGUGGUGGCUGCUGUUACAGCGACUGCCUUAGCAACAGCAUAGCUUGACGAUGACUUUGAUGAUGGAAUUGAUAGUUGGGAAAUUCGAGGAUUGGGAAUUGGAUUUGUUGGAUUUGGAGGAGGCCGGAACGGAUAGAAAGUUUCAAUAUUCCGAGGGGAAUUGGGUUGACAAGAAGAUAAAUGAAGAAUAGAAAAAAGGGAGACAAAAAACAGGGAGAUGAGAGGGCAUGGCUGAAUCACAGCAGCCAUGGAGAAAAGUUGGAUACAAUUGCAGAGAGGAUUAAAACGCACUCUGCUAGUCUUUUCUUUAUUUCAGGCAAUGCUGGUUGAUGUUUUGUCUUGUGCUUUUUGGGGUUUGGUCGUUGACAGUUUCAAACAGGAGUAGUUAGUUGGACCUGUUCUCAUUUUGGUAUUUCCCGGGCUUUUGUAUUUGAAAAAUCUACGAGCCUCAAUUGAAUUUGGAGGAUUCUUUUAUGAAUCUGAGGUGAAACAAAUUCAAACUUCAUCCCAGUAUUGAUUUUGGAAUUGAGUCGGUCUGAUUUAAAGCUUAUAUAUUAAAAAUAUUUAAUUACAAAGGUUUUUUAGUCUUUUUAGACGGAAAUAAUAUGGAUUGCUUUCUUGAAGCGUAAACUUGCAGCAAGGGAAGUGAUUGUCCUAGUCAUUGUCAUUGUCAUAGACGAGUCUUUUGUAGUGCUAAAAGACACAGAGCUGGGUGGUCGGCGACGACCCCAAUAUAAGACUUGAGCCCUGUGCUAAAAGGAGUUGCUUGACUUUGUGUGCUUCCAGGAAACAUUGAUUUCCAGGAAAUUAACUCUAAAAAAUAUAAUAAAUUUAUAAGGCCUUCAUUGAUAAAAUUAAUAUUAAUAAUAAUUAAGUGUAUUUAUAAUAAAUUUCAAGAGGUUUCAAUGAAAUUAACUCUAAAAAUUGAAAUAAUUAAUAUAUUUUAAAAAAAUUUAAAUGAAAAAUAUGGAUGAAAAUAAAAUAACAUAUAAAAUAUAAACCAUCCAUCUUUGAUACAAAGGACAAAAAUUUUGGAGAAAAAUGUUUCAUCAUUCCCUUGAUAAAAAAACUUACAUUUGUUUUAACCAUAAUAAUAGAAGAAAAAAAAGGGUAAAAGAGAAAAUGGAAGGUGAAAAAUGACGCAAAUAUAUUAAUUUCAUAUAUGCAUUCUGUUAUUUUUUUAAAAUUUAUAAAAAUAUUAAAAUAAGGAUAUUUUAGUUAUUAUGUUUUAAAAAAGUAACCAUGCUCCCUAUCUAAAAUAAAAUACAUUUUAAGUUUGUUUGUUUUGAAAAACAAGUUUUUCAAAUAUUUCAAUUCUAUUGCACCACCUCCCGAUUUUUUCAAAAAUACAUACGUAGAAGAUAGAAAGAGUUUUUAUCUCAUAUAUUAAAAAUAUUUAAAUUAGGAAGGUCUUUUAGAUAGGAAAGAAAAUCAAAUUAUGUGAUGAAUAAUUGAAUAUAAAUUGUCCCUUUUCAGACGUAAACUUGGUUUGUUAGGUUAGAAGAUAGCCAGAUGGGUGGUCAGUAAGAGAAUCAUGUGGACACCUAUAUUAUAGACUGAGAUUGAAAAAGAGUUGCUAGUUUUUUUACGGGAAGAGUCUUUGAGUCAGUCUGGAACUAUCUAGGAUAGUUUUUUGUUCUCUACGAAUAAAAAAUAUAAAAAAAAGAAUGUUUGAUAAUUAAAAUUGUUUUAUGUUUUAUAUUUUUAAGAACCGAAAAGAAGAUGUUUUUAAAAAACAUCUUCUAAUUAUUUUAUAUUAUUUUUAUAUGUUUUUUUAAAGUUAUUUUAAGAAAUAAUUAUACAAAUAUGUAAAAUGAUUAAAAAUAAAAUACUAGAUAUAAAAAUUAUUUUUAAAAUAUGUUUUAAAAUAUUAAAAACAUGUUAAAAACAUUUUAGGUAUUCAAAUAGAAUUUUGUUUUACAAAAAUCAAAGAACGGUUUUUAAAAAUUGUUUUUAAAAACUAUUUUUCAAAAUUCUUUUUGAAAGCAGUUACCAAACAUACCAUUUUUUUGCAUUGAGAAGUGUUUUUGUUUUUUGAUAUUUUGUAAAACAAAAAAUUUAUUUGUUAAUUUGAAAUAUUUUUGUGUUGAAUAUGAAAUAUUUUUAACCUAUUUUUAUUUUUUCGUAUUUUUAAAUAUAUUUUAAAAACAAUUUUUGUUUGUAGUAUUUUAUUUUGAAUUAUUUUUCACAUUUAUAUAAAUAUUUUUUUAAAUAGUCAUAAAAAAUAAAUUAAAAAAAUUAAAGGAUAUUAUUUAAAAUACCUUAUGUUCUAUUUUUAAAAAUAAAAACUAUUUUUAUUUUCCAUUUAUCAAAUGUAAUUUUUUUCCUUCCGAAAACAAAAAAUUGUUUUCAAAAAUAGUUACUAGAGAAUGCCCUAAGUACCAAAGUAUUUUGUGGAAGAAUAUAAGGUAAAUUUUUUAUCUUUUGUAAAAUUUUUAUUUUUAAACAUAUAAAAUAGAAAAUAUAUCCAUAUGUAAUUGUAGUAAUUAUUAUAAAUGUUUUAUUUGAAUUUUAGAUAAUUUAAAAAAAUUUCCUAAAAUUUUAUUUAACUUUUAUAAUUUGUUAAGGUCUAGGUUUUUGUCAAGUCUUCAUCUACAUUUAUGUAAAAUUAUGUAGGUUUUCAAAGAUUCUCGGAAAAAUUUAUUUCAUUCUCAUUUUGAUUAUACUGGUUUGUUUUUGUCAAGUCUUUGUCUAGUUUUAUGUAACAUUUUGUAGUUUUCUAAAAAAUCUUGGAAAAUUUUAUUCCAUUCUCAUUUUGAUUGUGUUGUUUUGUUUUUGUCUUCAUCUAGUUUGGUGAGGAGUCAAUAAAUUCAUAACGCGUAAAUCAUAACUUAUUUAAUUUGUUGACUAAGUUAAUAAAUAUGAUUUAAUAAUUUAAUUUAAGUAAUUAAAUAGAUUAAACAUCUUUGAUAAAAUAAUCUAAUAUCAUAAUUUAAUAUAAAAAAUAAUUUUAAGUAUUAAGUCAAAAUGCUUACUCAUUCUUAAUUUUAAAUCUUUUUUACCUAUUAUGCUCACAUGAAAUCUAAUACAAAAAAUUUUAUAAUCUAACUUUGGGUUUUUUUUUCUUUAAUGUUUCAUUAAUUUGAACUCUUAACUAAACAUAAAUAUUUAAGUGCAUAUUUAUUUUUAUAAUGAUAAGUAUUAAAACAAUAUAAAUUAAAUAAUGUAAUAAUUUUUAAAUUAUAAAUAAUAAGAUAGAUAGUGUUUUUAUGUAAAUAAAAUAAAAUACUAUAUUUUUUGUUUUGUUUUAAAUAUGUCUUCACACUUAAAUAUUAUAUAUGUUUUCAAAUAUUAGUUCAUUUAAAUUUAAACUUGUCCUCAUUUCUUUUGAUGAUAUCAAAUAUAAAAGAUAAAAUGUUAUUAAAAGUUUGAAUUAUAUUUAUAUUUCAUAGUUUUUUUACAUUAUUGGUUUGACCACAGUUCAAUUAUCAGUUCCAAUCAAUAAAUCGGUAAUUUUUUUUAUUCAAUGACUGGUCUAGUUCUAAAAACAUUGAUUUAAUGUAUUAAAACAAUUUUAAUAUUUAAAGUAAAAAUAAAAUAUUAUGUUUAUUAAAUAAUAAGUAUUAAGUUUUAUUAGUGAUUAUUUAAAUUUUUAAAAGUGGUUUUAAGAAUUUGUCAAACACCUAAUUUAUCUCAAAAAACACUUUCAUGUAUCACAUAUGAGAGACUUUUAACUUUUUCAAAAUCAUUAUCAAACAUACUUAUGAAAAAUUUUACAAAGAUUUUUUGGUACAUAUUUUUUGUAAGUUGUCAUUGUUUACAUUGGGUUGACUCUUCUAAGUCUUCUUCUUGGUCUUUUAGGUAAACACAGCGUAGCUUGGAAAAUUAUAUGAAUAAAUCCAUCAUUUAUCUCAACAUCAAUAUUUUUUUCUUCAAAUUAUUUGAUAGGAAACCUCGGAAAAUAUUGCCUUGAAAAAUGUGGUUGUAUUCACAUUUUUUCCACGAUAGUAGAGGUCUCAUAUUUUGGCUAUGAACUUUUUGGAAAAUCUAUUAUUAGAAGUAAACAACACGUAACUAAUUAAGUCAUUAAAUUAUUUAGAAAUAGUUUUUUUAAAGGUUCUUAGAAAACUUUACAUUUUUAUUUUGAUUUAUAAUGUCUAAAAAUCCUAUAUUACACUAUAAAUUAUUUUAAAAAUAUGCUAUUAGGAGUAAAGGAAACAAGAAACUUAUAUCAGUAAGAAAAAAUUUCUAUCUUUACCUUUUGAAAUUAGAGAAACUAUAUUUUUUUUAAUUAUAAGAAAUGAUGGAAAAAUAGUCUAAUUGAAAAAAAAAAAAAGGUAAAAGAGAAAAAUGUUUGUUUUAAAACAUAAUUUUUAAAUAUAAACCUAAAAAUAUCAAAUGUAUUAUCAUUAAUAUUUGAAAUUAUCAAAAUUUGUGAGAUAAUAAUUUCAUUUUGUUCUCCAUUAUAUAUUUAUGUUUAUAUUAAAUUUAUUUUCAUUAAUUUUUUUUAAUAUAUUAUUAUUUUGUGUUUAAUGGGAUAAUAUUUUCAUUUUUUUUUUGUAUAUUAUCCAUUUAUGUUUAUAUUAAUUUAUAUAUAUAUAUAUAUAUAUAUUAUCAUUUUGUGUUUAAUGUACAAUAAUUUUUUUUUUUGUCUAUUAUGUAUUUAUGUUUAUAUUAAAUUUGUUUUAUUAAUUAUCUUUUAUAUAUAACCAUUUUUUAUUUAAUGUGUUUAAAAAAAAUUAAAAUUUAAAAGAUGUAAUGAGAGAAAGUGUAGUGAGAAAUAAAUAAAUAAAUAUGUGUCGAAAACUUAGAUAAGGUAACAUGGAGGAGAAAAGAGAAAAAAAAAAUUGACUCAAUUGUGUCAAAAACCCGUAAAGGUUUUUGUGUGAAUCUCAUUCUUUUUAUUCCAUUUCUUCUAUCAUCUCUUAUAUUUUCCUUUUUCAUGUAAGCACGUUAAAAGUUUACCAAAGUUGCGAUUAAUUAAAAAAUAUUGCCUGUUCACAUUUUGAUUCAUUCAUGAUGUUUAAAUGUUUUGCAUGUAUUUGGGUUCUAGCCCUUCCAAAAAUCCACUAAUUUUUGUGUUUUGGAAAAUCCUCACCUAGUUCAUAUUUUUUGUGUUCUCAUUCUUCAUUAAGUUAGAAGACAAUCUUAGUGAGUGUCAAUGUUCACAUUACUUUUAUUGCAAUCCACUUGAGCGGAGACAAGGAAAUUUCAUUCAUGGUGGUCUUCCCACUAAAUUAAGGUGAUUGAGAUUUGUUUCGAUGGGUCAAUAUCAUGAAUUAUGUGAACACCAAUAUUAGAGGUUGUAGUAGUAGACUAUAAAAGUGUUGCCUAACUUGGGGUGUUUUCCGGAAGAGAGCCUCUUAGACACCAAUAUUCGAAAGCACUUAUCUUGAUUAUGGGGGUAAAAAAUGAAGUAGUUUUUGUUUUAGCUUAUGUUUGGUUCUUGGAAAACACUAAGGAAAGAAAAAAAAUGUAAAAGAAAAUGAUUUUUUUCAUGUUUAAUUAUCUUAUGAAAAAUAUCAAAGAAAACCAAAUAUAAUUAUAACUAGUUAGAAAUUUAUAUAUAUUUAAAUUAUUUAAUCUUUAUAUUAAUGAGUUAAAAUAAGUAAAAUGAGUUUAAAAUAACAAAUAAAAAUAAUUUAUAGACUCUUAAUCUAUUUUUUAUUUUCCUUUACUUUUUAUUUCCUUUUACUUUUCCUUUGCAUUUUUUUUCCCUUGCAUUUUUCCUUAAAUUUUUUGAGAACCAAACAUAGCCUUAGGAAACAAAAGAAGUAGUCCAAAAGUAUUUUGUAUAUGAAUAUAAGGUAAAUUCCUAUCUUAUGUACAAUUUAUAUUUUUAAAAAUAAAAAAUGGAAAAUAUAUGUACAGACAACCUUAAUAAUUAUCAUAAAUAUUUUAUUUGAACUUCAAAUUUUCUUUUCAUUUUUCAUUUUAUGAUUUAAAAGUUUUAUUUUUUCUAAAAUUUCAUUCAACUUUUAUAAUUUGCUAUUGUUCGCUUUUGUUUUUGUCAAGUCUUUGUCUAGUUUUUCAAAGAUUCUUGGAAAAUUUUAUCUCAUUCUCAUUUUGAGCGUGUUGUUUUGUUUUAGUCACGUCUUUAUCUAGUUUUAUAAUGAGUCCACAAAUCCAUACUGCGUAAAUCAUACGUAAUUUUUUUUUUUUGACUCAUUAUGAAUAUUUUAUUUAACUUUUAAAUUUUCUUUUAAUGAUCAUUUGCGUUUGUGAAGGGUCAUUCUUUUCAUUUUGUUUGACUUCUCAAAUCUCAUUUUCAUGUGAAACUUUGUAGGGUUUUCCAAAGGCCCUUGGAAAAUAUUGCCUUAUUCAUUAUGAAAUCUUCCAAAAAUCCAUGACGGGCAAUAAAUAAGGUAUAAGCUUAAUUGAGUGAUUACAUUAUUUAGAACUUAUAUAGGAUUGAUUUUAGGUAAAGCAUUCUUAAUUUGUAGUAGUCUUUGUAAUUAGUGUUUUUAUUAGAAAAACUUUUUAAGAAAAAUCAAUUAGUGCUUAGAUAUAAUAACAAAAAAAAAUAUAUAUAUUUUUAUAGUAUUUUUAGUAAUGUGUUAUAUAUAACAAAAAAAAAAAAAACAUAAAAUCUCCUAACAUGUGAUCAUCCAUGAAUCACUUUAGAUGAUUAACUAAAAUUUUAAAAUAACUUUAUGAUUAUCAUUCUUUAAUUUCGGUUGACUCUUCUAAGUCUACUUAUUGGUCUUUUAUGUAAAUAUGCUAUAGUUUGGAAAAUUCUAUCCAUCAUUAAUCAACAUCAAUCGUUGUUUUCUUUAAAUGAUUUGAUGGGAAAGCCUACCUCACAUGGAAUAUGGAGUGCCUUUGUUUAAUGGAUUUCAAUUGCAUGCUCCUGGAAAUUAUGCCCUAAUCCAUAUUUUUUUGCGUUGAUAUGGUGAGUUGUUGAAGAUGUAUUUCAUUUUCUUGAAAAGAAAUAAUUAGUGCAUAAACAUUUUUGAAAUAUUAAAUUAAAGAGGAAAAUGACACCAUACUCCCAUAAGAUUCAAUAUAUUUGUUUAUUUGUUAAAGAAGUAAAUAAUUAAUUAAUCAAAGACUUUAAAGGAAAUAUUUGUGUGAAUUAAAAAUAUAUAUUUAAAUUAUAAAGGAUUUAGAUAGGAAAGAAACAGAGGUUUUAAAUGUAUAAACUUGCAUGCAACAAAGGGAAUUUGUUGUCAUUGUCUACUGCCUUCUUUGUUACGUUAGAAGAGAGACAGCUGGGUGAUGAGCAUUUGUGUUCGAUCACAUUUACUUUUAUUGCAUGCAGUCCGCACUUAACUGAAAACAAGAAAUUAAUUCAUGGACCACGAGGACAUUAAUAUUAAUAUUAGAGACGUGAGCAGUAGACUGACUUGACUUGGUGUGUGCUUCCGGGAAGAGUCUUUCUUAGUCUUAGGCACCAACUAAUAUUUAUAUUUAUAUUUGCAUUAUAAAAGUGUGGUAAGGUUUAAUUGAUUGCGCAGAAUUAAAGAUGGCGUCCUCCAUUAUUAUUUUUACAGCAGUGGUGGUAGUUACCAUCACCAGUACCAUGAUGAUAAUGUUAUUCCCCCUUGCCAAUGCAAUAUCAUCACCAUCUUCAUCAACUGAUGAGGCAGAGGCUUUGCGCAGCACCGGUUGGUGGAAUUCUACCUCUGCUCAUUGCCACUGGGAUGGUGUAUUUUGCAAUAAUGCCGGAAGAGUGACUGGAAUCGCCCUUUACGGUUCAGGAAAAGAAUUGGGUGAGCUUAGCAAAUUGGAUUUUUCUUCAUUUCCCAGCCUGGUUGAGCUCUCCCUUUCUGACUGUGGACUCAAUGGUAGCAUCCCACACCAAAUAGGUACUCUUACUCAACUCACCUAUCUUUCUCUCGGUCUUAACAAUCUUACAGGUGAGCUACCUCUUUCCUUGGCUAACCUCACUCAGUUGGAGGUCCUUUCCUUUUAUUCUAAUCGACUACAUGGUUCGAUUCUUCCUGAAAUUGGGAAAAUGAAGAAUUUGACUGUUUUGGAUUUGGGUAAUAACAACCUUACUGGUGUCAUCCCUUCCUCUUUUGGUAAUCUUACCAAUCUGACAUUUCUUUAUCUUGAUGGUAAUAAAAUAAGUGGUUUUAUCCCUCCUCAAAUUGGGAAAUUGAAGAAUCUGAGGUUUCUCUAUCUUUCUUCUAACGGACUACAUGGUCCAAUUCCUCCUGAAAUUGGGAAAUUGAAGAAUUUGGAGGUGCUUUAUCUUUUUUAUAACAAACUACAUGGUCUAAUUCCUCCUGAAAUUGGGAAUAUGAAGAAAUUGAUUUUUUUGAAUCUACGUAGUAACAACCUUACUGGUGUCAUCCCUUCAUCUUUUGGUAAUCUUACCAAUCUGAAUUCUCUUACUCUUCGAGGUAAUCAAAUCAGUGGUUUUAUUCCUCCUGAAAUUGGGUAUCUUUUGAAUUUAUCAUAUCUAGAUCUCAGUGAGAAUCAAAUCAGUGGUUUCAUCCCUGAAGAAAUAGUGAAUUUGAAGAAAUUGGGUCAUUUGGACAUGAGUAAUAACUUAAUACGUGGAAAGAUACCUUCACAAUUGGGAUAUUUGAAAGAAGUAGAAUACUUCAAUCUCUCCCAUAAUAACCUCUCUGGCACAAUUCCUCAUUCUAUUUCUAAUAACUACAUGUGGACGUCAAUUGAUUUAUCACACAAUCAGUUGGAGAGUCAGUCCACAACUCCACAUGAGGCAUUUGGCCACGACAAAGGUUUAUG
rnacentral:lncRNA from 1 species